UUACAUAUACUAUUUCUAACUUAAGGAUUACUGAAUCCACAACCUAUACAUAAAAACAUUUGUGAUGCUUAAUCUACGAAUUGGACCCGAAUUUAACCGUAGGAAACCGGGUUUAAGCUUCGGGCUAAACCGUUAAAGGCACUGUAACCUUUGGAACUGAACCCUAAACAACCAAAGAGUCCAUGUCUGUACGGCAGGUAUGUCAUCUUCUUCAUCUCCUCUGCUUGAGCUCUGUUCGUUGUGUAAUGUAUAGCUCGUGAGCCGACGGCUGCAUUCCUCGCCGUUUGGAUAUUUCGUUUAUUGGUUUUCCGAUGAUCGGAGAUUUCUUGGCCGGUGG
rnacentral:lncRNA from 1 species